AAAACCUCCUCGCCGGAAGACCAAGGGUUCCUGUCCAACGUUAAUCGGGGCAGGGUGAGUCGACCCCUAAGGUGAGGCCGAAAGGCGUAAUCGAUGGGAAACGGGUUAAUAUUCCCGUACUUCUGACUAUUGCGAUGGGGGGACGGAGAAGGCUAGGUGGGCCAGGCGACGGUUGUCCUGGUUCAAGUGCGUAGGCUUGAGAGUUAGGUAAAUCCGGCUCUCUCUAAGGCUGAGACACGACGUCGAGCUGCUACGG
rnacentral:rRNA from 1 species